AUUGAACGCUGGCGGCAGGCCUAACACAUGCAAGUCGAGCGGGGUUUUCGGACCUAGCGGCGGACGGGUGAGUAAUGCGUAGGAAGCUACCCGAUAGAGGGGGAUACCAGUUGGAAACGACUGUUAAUACCGCAUAAUGUCUACGGACCAAAGUGUGGGACCUUCGGGCCACAUGCUAUCGGAUGCGCCUACGUGGGAUUAGCUAGUUGGUGAGGUAAUGGCUCACCAAGGCGACGAUCCAUAGCUGGUUUGAGAGGAUGAUCAGCCACACUGGAACUGAGACACGGUCCAGACGCCUACGGGAGGCAGCAGUGGGGAAUAUUGGACAAUGGGCGCAAGCCUGAUCCAGCCAUGCCGCGUGUGUGAAGAAGGCCUUCGGGUUGUAAAGCACUUUCAGUAGGGAGGAAGCGUUGUGUGUUAAUAGUACGCAGCGUUGACGUUACCUACAGAAGAAGCACCGGCUAACUCUGUGCCAGCCGCCGCGGUAACAC
rnacentral:rRNA from 1 species